GGCGUAUGGUAGGUGUGUAAACAAGAUCAGAGAUUCAGAAUGAUCAUCACUUUAAAUUCCUCGCAUGCAGAUCUGCCGUUUCUGACUAUGAUUUCGAUAGAAAACUUGGAAAAAGAAGUAGAUGUUGCCGUUUUCAAGUACUGGAGGACUUCACUAUGUAUUCGGAUGUGAUGAUGGUCCAUGAAUGACACGUGGUGGAAUUUCAGAAAAGGGGCCAAAGGGGCAGGCGGAAAAACUGAGUGGAAAGAGGAAAUCCCUCUAUUUGUAAAAGAAAAAACGUAAUGGAAAUUUCAUUUUCCCAACUUGUAUGUGUGGAGCACUCGAUUGAGAGGAUUAUUGAGACCCUAAAGUUGGCGUGCUGUUAAAUCGAUUAAGACAUUUUUUGUAAUAUGUUAGUACUUUGUUUUGG